rnacentral:lncRNA from 1 species
UCAUGGAUUUGAUAAGAUAAAACCAACAUUCUAGUUGUGAAUAUGGAACAAAUGAUGUACCAUAAUAUUUUGAAUUAUUAUUAUUAUAUAUCUAUUAUUAUUAUCAUGAAAGUUCACUUGCAAGUGCUGGUACUGCUAACUUUUUCCUCAGAAAAACCGGAAAGCAAUAUUUUAAACAGAUAAAACAAGGAGGAUAGGGACCAUGGUCCAAAAUGGGUGGUCGUAGCUUGUUUAUUAUAUUCGCUUGUCAUGGCUUUCUGCAUCACGGAUGGGUCACCAUUUUUUUUUUUUGGUAAAAACGGAUGGGUCACC